CUCGUGUCGUGAGAUGUUGGGUUAAGUCCCGCAACGAGCGCAACCCUUAUCUUCAGUUGCCAGCACGUAGAGGUGGGAACUCUGGAGAGACUGCCGAUGACAAAUCGGAGGAAGGUGGGGAUGACGUCAAAUCAUCAUGCCCUUUAUGUCUUGGGCUACACACGUGCUACAAUGGUUGGUACAACGAGAAGCGAGAUAGAGAUGUUAAGCGAAACUCUAAAAACCAAUCUCAGUUCGGAUUGUAGGCUGCAACUCGCCUACAUGAAGUCGGAGUUGCUAGUAAUCGCGAAUCAGAAUGUCGCGGUGAAUGCGUUCCCGGGUCUUGUACACACCGCCCGUCACACCAUGGGAGUUGGCAAUACCCGAAGCC
rnacentral:rRNA from 1 species